GAUGAAGAACGUAGCGAAAUGCGAUAAGUAAUGUGAAUUGCAGAAUUCAGUGAACCAUCGAAUCUUUGAACGCACAUUGCGCCCGGCAGUAAUCUGCCGGGCAUGCCUGUCCGAGCGUCAUUUCUGCCCUCGAGCGAGUCCAGCAUCUAGGUGCUGGGCCCGCCCGGCGUUGGGGCACUACGGGAAGCCCUGUGCUGUCCCCCGUAGGCCCCGAAAUGAAGUGGCGGUCCUGCCGCGGCGCCCCCUGCGUAGUAUAACAGCUCGCUUCGGGACCCGGUGGAGGCCUGCCGUCAAACCUUACUCUCUAAGUUUGACCUCGGAUCAGGUAGGGUUACCCGCUGAACUUAAGCAUAUCAAUAAGCGAAGGA
rnacentral:misc_RNA from 1 species